GUGAAAUCUUAAAGCAAACAAACAAACAACAACAACAACAAAACCCCAAGAAGCUCAUAGAAACAAAGAAUAGGAUUUACAGUCUGGUUUUGGGAGACUGUGUGUCACAUGAAAAGGCUGCUGCAUCCAGACAGAUGUAGAUUCAAAUCCUGACUCGACCAUUAACAGCAGCACUAUGGACAAGCGACUUAUCCUCUCUAUACCUCAUGCAUAAGAAUGGGCAUAACAACAAUACCUGGCUUAUCAAGCUUCUGCAAAGUGAAGGUCCAUCUUGGGACCAUGAAGGGAAAACCAAGGAAAUGGAAGAUAAGGUGAUUCAGAGCAUGGACAUCAUUGAGCUGCUUGAUUAACUGACUCUGGAACCACCACCGUAGCUGCAGGCAUUUUGUCAUGUGAUUUAAUAAAUGUCUUUAUUCUUUUUC